AAGAUAUUUGAUUUAAGGUAUGGAUGAAGAAUAAGAAUUGAUGAGUAGGCAGCACUGGGCUUCUUUAUUUAUAUAGAAGAAGAUCUGAUACCAAAAAAAGAAGAAGUGCAUGAGACGUUUUCAUGGUUUCAAAACACGUAAGGAUAACUUUUUGUGUUCUUCAAGACUUCAAAUUUGUUCCUACUUUUAAUUUUCCCUCUUGAAGCCAAAAUUAGACCAAAACGUAUCCUAAAAAUCGAAUACCCGUAUCCAUAAUGUCAUAUAUGCGUAUACUUUCGUUGUUAACCAUAUUCGAGUUCACAUGUGUCCAGCUUGUAUCAUAUCCCCC
rnacentral:lncRNA from 1 species